AACAUUGGCGGCGGCCUACCAUGCAGUCGAGCGGCAGCGGGAAAGUAGCUUUUCCACUUUUGCCGGCGAGCGGCGGACGGGUGAGUAAUGCCUGGGGAUCUGCCCAGUCGAGGGGGAUAACUACUGGAAACGGUAGCUAAUACCGCAUACGCCCUACGGGGGAAAGCAGGGGACCUUCGGGCCUUGCGCGAUUGGAUGAACCCAGGUGGGAUUAGCUAGUUGGUGAGGUAACGGCUCACCAAGGCGACGAUCCCUAGCUGGUCUGAAAGGAUGAUCAGCCACACUGGAACUGAGACACGGUCCAGACUCCUACGGGAGGCAGCAGUGGGGAAUAUUGCACAAUGGGGGAAACCCUGAUGCAGCCAUGCCGCGUGUGUGAAGAAGGCCUUCGGGUUGUAAAGCACUUUCAGCGAGGAGGAAAGGUUGGUAGCUAUUAACUGCCAGCUGUGACGUUACUCGCAAAAAAAGCACCGGCUAACUCCGUGCUAGCAGCCGCGGUAAUGCGGAGGGGUGCGAGCGUUAAUCGGAAUUACUGGGCCCAAACGCGCACCCCCGCGGGUUGGAUAAGUUACAUUGUGAAAGCCCCCGGCUCCACCCUGGGAACUUGCAUUAAAAACUGGGCAACUAAAAUCUAGAAAGGGGUGAAAAAUUCACGGGGUACCGCCGAAGGGGUUAAACAA
rnacentral:rRNA from 1 species